GCUGACUUUGAUCGGUGCAUCCA
rnacentral:siRNA from 1 species